rnacentral:lncRNA from 1 species
GGGUUUUUGGCACAGAUGUUCUUUAUUAAGGUUUUAUGGAGUUGGCAACCCUAAAUCAGCUGAUGCUGAGUGAAAACAUUCUACGCAUACUCGUAAUCAGUUUGAGUAGCGGGUGGAUUGGAAACAACAGUCCACCUGAGGAAAGGUUUCAGUGGUGGUCGCUCCGUUUGUCGCCGUUUUUCGGCAACGAACAAACGAUUACGAUUAUAUUCGGUAACAGUUAUUACAUAGUGUGGAAGGGUUAAUGUCAGAUUUCACUACUUCGAAAACAAGCAAUAAUUUGUAAAAAUAAUUAUACUUACAAAUCAAUGAACGCAUUCUACAUUGAUUUAGAAUUGUCCUCUUUCGAUUUUAUUCGUCUACCAUUAAU